AUGCCACGUCAGCAUUCACAUAAGUCUAAUUCUUAACAUGCAUCAUGCCAUGUCGCCCUGCCGUUACCAGCGUACAAAACGGACCAAGGACCGCUACCAUCCCACACCCUUCCAUCGCACGUGUGCACGAAUUAAUCGGAAGCCCAAGUAGUUUUGCAACUGCACCUCACGAUUGACUCCCAACACAAGCAGUACAUGCCAUCUAUUCCCGAGUAGGCCCUAACUCCUCUAGAACGAAACAAAGACACGACCCUCUGUUCACCUUCGCCCCUUUCCGGCCAUAAAUCACGGGCUCAUUAAACAACGACCCCUCAGUCCCUCAAAUACCAAUCUUUUCCUCUGCCUACAGCGGCGACCGGCGCGACAACAGAUGGGUGCCGAUCUUCUACGGCAUGAUCGCCGGUCCGGGUGGCCUCCGCGGCUCUUCGAUAUUCUAUCAGGUUACGUCCGUGUUGCUGGUGUGGUGCCCUACAUCGUCGAGCCGGCGGCUGCAGUGCUUGAUCGUCCCGUCCAUCUCUGCCUCUGUUCCGGCCAAAUUAGCUCCGGCGCUGCUUGUGAGGUUGGCCGGUUCCAUCAGAACUGGACUGGUCGCUUGGGGAGAUUGGUGUCCGGACCUGGCUUGGCCUAGAAAGACCGAACAAGUCUCUGUUAACAGCGAUGUUUGGAGGAGCUCUGCAUCCACCUCCUCUGGUGAGCGUUCAACGGUGUGCUGUCGUAGCGGAUUACUGCAACAAUGGUAGCCUUUUUUCCAAGCAUAGUUCCUGCAACUGGGAAGGGAAGCCAUCCAGGGCACAUUUUUGUAUCGGCGAUGGGUUUGCAUAUAAGGACGAAAAACUUCAGAGUACGGUAAUGAUAGGAGCGGUGGUCUUCGUUCUGCCUUUUUGUAUCCUGCAGGCAAGAGAAACUAAAGGAGGCGAGCUGCUCUCAACAUUAAUCAACGGAGGCUAUACCUGGGUGGACUCGCCUGUGCUCCGUUCUUAAUCUCAACAGCCAUCGGUGAGCCAUCCCUUUCGUCUUUUCCAGCUUCUCUAUGACACUUACACCUAUCUCCAACAUGAGUUUAGUUUUUUAUUUGUAAGUUCCACCAUAUGGAAGUCAACAUGCUGGCAGGUCCCAACCUCAUAGCCUGCUGUUAGCACAUGAAGCUAGAUGAGACGAAUCUGGAAUGCUCUCAUGUAUCAGACCUAAUUUAGAGUUGAGGUGGCAAUUUUCUUUCACAUGAUUAUCUGAGUAUUUCAACGAAGUAUGCAGAGGGAAGACACCUGAUUGCUGGAUAUAUCUAAACAUGGAAUUAUGUCCGUCAGCUUAUAUAUAUGUACUCUCAUGUAUUUCUCUUUUUUGUUGUGCUCAGAUAAUCAUCUCAAGUCAGACACAUUGAUUACAUUUCCAUAUAUUGUCUUAGUAUUAAACCUAACAUAACCAAACUUAUCAGCUUGUGCUUUUUUUUAUUAAAUACAAACAUUUCUGCCUCUA